rnacentral:lncRNA from 1 species
AUCUGGCUCGCCCCGGUAAAACAAGUAAUGAUGGCACCCCGCGUGCUCCAUGACGAUGGCGUUUCUUAGCCCCUUACGGAAGCAAGGAGACGUCAGCAAGGAUCCGACAGCCCCGACAGCUGUGCUCCCACAGGGCUCAAGCGCUACUCCGACGGCCACGACAUCACAUGAACAGGGCAGCAACACCUCUCCGACAUGUACAUAGGGCUCUGGCUCCCCUUUGCUAGACACAUUAGCACGUUGCUGUGGCAGAACCUCCCAAGAUAUCGGGCCCACAUGCACCUGUCCUUGUCUCAAAGACCUCAGACUGUUAUGCAUGUGCACCAGAUAACUUAACAGGAUCCGUCCGAUUGCCCCAAGGACACCGGAUAAACCACUUACAACCAGAACCGCGGGAUUAAGUAACACAAAUCACACACACCAAUAUUUUUGCAGCGGAAAUAUUAUUACCAAAUUUUACAAGUUACAAAAAUUUUACAUUAUUUUAUCGGAGUGAUUAUAAGUUUGAAAUAUAUGCUAGCUCAAAAGACCAUCCUCAAUAAGAAGUAUAGAAGAAGUACUUAGACUUAUAAGAAGGUCGAGCCCACCGGCACUUAACACCAUCAUCAGCAGCACAAAACUAUACCCUGAAAAACAACAGGGAAUAAAACCCUGAGUAUGGAAUUACUCAGCAAGACUUACCCGACUAAAGAAAAGACUCUCAAGGAUAUGCUGGAUUUGGGAAUCAAGGAGAGGCUUUAGCAAGAAUCAACUUAGAUACUUUUGCAGAAAUAGCUUACUAAAGUGAGUCCUUACUUUCAAUAUUUUAACGCCAGAUUAAAUAUUAAUAGACUCUGUUUGCAUAUGGUCUACUUUCACCAUCUCAUCAAUACAACAUCGUUUUUAUUCAUAAUGUUCACAUCCUGACUUAGGUUGCAGGUCAGUGACCAAGUCUUCAUAACCGCGAAGGUACGGCGAUCCGAAUCGAUUAUACUCAGCUGAGGAUCUCCAAUCACACGACAUAUGUAGCACUUAACCCUUGCAUAUGUCAACCCGCCACCGGGGUUCUUAAGACCGGAUCAGGUUCACGCAGACCGAGAGCACAGAUACACCACCGUCCAGCCUCUUGCCACGGAGGGUACACGCUACUCUCGCCACCGCUCCACGCCCAUCUCGUGUUGUCUUAUUCCGGCCUUAGUCUGCCCGAGGCAAGGCUUACCCAUGACGAGGCAUGUGACCAGUUAAAGGGUCCUCGGUCAGCAGGCCAACAUACGCAUCCAAUCCUUAAUCAACCUGGGUAGAACAUCACCUGUUCCUAACCCAAGUCUCAAUUUAAGUAUUUUCAUCCUUAGGAUUGUGUCUGUUCCUUAGGAUGAAAGAGCAUCACAGGGAACUUUGCAGUAAGAUCCCACUAUUGCUCCAAAUGAAAAUAUUCUUGCAGGUAGAAAGCCAUCCUCUCCCGGGUUAAAUUGAGGACAACCUCUAUCCACAAGAUCUAAGCAAGGCUAAGCAUUUUUGUAAAUCAUAAUUUUGAUACUUCACAGAAGUAUCUAUAAAGGUAUGGAUAUCAAGGAAAGCAAUGCAUCAAAGGGUUCCAAGCAACUCCUAUGAACCUAAUGCACAUUUCACUAGACUUAAAGUGUGCGAAAAGUAUUUUAAAAACACAAGGAAAGGGGUUGCAUGCACCGAGGCUUGCCUGGAAUAAACACUAGGUUAGUGUUGUUAGACGAUGAGCACUUGACGACCAUUCUUUGUUUUGGCACUUGUCAGGUCAUCCAUCCUUGCGUUCGUCCUUCAGCUUCACCAUGCGGAGUAGCCCGCGCUUGGGGUUGACUUGGCUUGUCUUCCGCAUCGCGUGAUUAAUUAACGUACCACGAUCGAAUCGAUUUGAUAACCGCGAGGACAACGACGGUUUUCAGUUUGGAUAUCCGGUCGAGCUUCUGGCAAUUGCUGCACGGACUUUUCUCAUAUUUUUAUCCAACUCUAGGAUCACUCUUCGGAUGACAAAGUCGACGAUGAACCCCAUGGAGUAAACGACGACGUUGUUGUAUCCACCACAUGGAGACGAAUGACGACAACGGCACAACGGCACGAGCAGAAAGGCUUGGCCAGGGCAGAGUCCGAGCGGGUUGACGGCGAGCCGGACCGUGAUAGAUCAAGGCUGAGGCUGAGGGAGAGUGACCGGGCCACAAGCAAGCUGCGCGAGCUGAGGGCGUGGCCAUGGAAGAGCAGGGGAUGGGCGAGCUCGGACCAAGGCGACAACGCGAUGGAGCUUGCUGGGAAGCCCGUCCAAGGAGCAACGUUCGGCGAGCUCCGGCGAGAGGAGGUACAACAUGGGCAAAUUUCAUGGCGGCCAUGAGAGAGGAGCAAGGAAGGAGCGCGCGUGGGAGAAGAUCCUGAGUGCUGCUGCCACUCCGGCCAGGGAAGCGACGGCAAAUACGUCGAGCAGGGAGUGCUGGGCGAGUUCCACAUCGAACUAGAGGAGAAAGACAGAGGGAGGUCGAGCGCUGAGAGCAAAACGCCCAGGCGUUGUGCUGGGGAAGUAAGAGGGAGAAGGCACGACCUGUUGAACGCGGAGGAAAAUAUCCAGGGGAGAGCGGUGGUUGGAUGAGAACAAAGUCCAGGAAAUGAUAAUUAGCAAGAGACGUAUGCACACCAGCUUUCCCAAGGAGCUAGAUAUUUUCUUUUCUGUUGUUUUUUUUUUUAUUUUUCCCCCCUGUGCGCGGAUGAGAACGAUGACUGCAGAUGAGAAAAAAAAAAGAAUCUGGACAGGGGACGGCGUGAUAGGAUAGGAUCUCUGGGAUAUUUUCCAUUUUCCAUUUUCCAUUUUUUUAUAACGGAAAUAGUAAAUAUUUCGGAUUCGAAUAAAUUCAUCUGUUUUUGUCCCGAAUAUUUGAUGUGGUGAAUAUUUUGUAGUAGAUGAACUUUUGCCAGGUAUUUAUAUCCAAAGAUUUAAAGUUGGCAAGAAACAUACGGACCGAGUUAAACGGAUUUCGGCUUCUGUAUUUUAAUCUGCACUGAUUUAGUUGAUUUUAGACGAAUUCCGUCCGCUAUUCGAACACUCGGUUAGAGAACAAUUUAAUUAAAAAUCUGUAGACGCGACGUCGUGGUUGACAGAAGGGGAUUAAAUUAUUUUACCCGAACAAUUUAGUCGUCGAGUUCAAAUUAAUUUAUCCGGAAUAAAAUUAUCAAAGUGGGUCGGGCUUCCGAAUUUGUAUUCGUGCGAGCGAUGAAUUUUAAAUACUCGCCAGACGCACCGAUCUUCGAAACAACUAUGUUCCGAACAUCAUGAAAAUUUAGGAAGAGCCCGGAUAGAUGAAAAUAAAAACGAUGUCGCACCCGCGUCCGACAAAACAGAUGUGAUAUAAAAAUCGCGAUAGGCAAAAAUAAUUAGACCUUAGGGUCCGUCGUAUUCACUGAUCUCACGUGCUUAAAUCCAUACUCGUUGUUGAGCGGAAUAUAAACACCUGGGGUGUUACAGCCCUCCCCACUUAAAAGAAUCUCGUCCCGAGAUUCGGAGCGAAAGACUUCUAAGGGUAGAGAAGCAUGUACCCCAUAUUCAUAUCAGCGAUAAUCAUAAGACAAUCCAGAGCGAAGGCGAGUGUCUCAGGAUGUGGUUUCUCUAGUGGACAUAUCAUGCAUCGCCUUAGGCUAAUUUAGAAAUGUCCACCAAUAGAGACGAUAUCUGCUAGAGGAACACAUAAGGUUCCAUGUGUGCAGUUUGCUUUUUCUGAUGACACUGUACUAUCUGAGUCUGUUGAGCGAGCGGUGGAUAUACGACUUUACCCAAACAGAAUCAGAUGCAACCUCUUGGGUAAAACACACAACAAGAGGUCUACCAACAAGUGGUUACAGGAAAUUCAUAGCACAGGGGACGGGUGUGAAUGUCCAGUAACAUCACAAUUAACUCGUGUUAGCUAGAGAAUCCAAGUCCCUGAAAUGUGAUAUAGAUUUGAGAAAAUCACGAGUGGAGAGAUAUGUAGAUGCGGACUUUGCAACCAGUCCAUUUUAUCCAGCACGAGUCACGGCUCGACUUGAUCACACAUGCUGGAAAAGCACACGAGAGGCGAUCAAGGCACGACUAGAGCGAUGACUAGGUGGUUACUAAUCGACUUAAUCUCGAUUCUUGUAAGUAUUUCCUUAAGUGGGUUGAACCAAAAGGAGUUCAGGCUAAUCGAUAAAAUGAUCUCAAAACUCAAUCCUUAUUUACAAUGCAGUUACAAGUUAGUAAAACCAACUUGUUGAACUACUUUUAACAUUGGGCAUGUCCUCUCAGUACCAUCGGUAAGCCAAGGGUUGAGAGUUCGCUUCUGUUAACAGGAGAUUAUGCACUUGAGUAGAAAUCCAUUGGUCAGGUUGUUCAUCCGUUUCUUCAUGCGAGAUGAACUGACUUGGUUCGGGAAUACAUGGAUUAAUUAAGGGAGCGAACGAACAAACUCUUGCAUCUCAGCAUCAGGGAAAAUCCAAUCUCCAUUUUUAGAGCUAAUCAGUUGUCUCUCGACACUAAAAAGCUCCAAGGCUUCACUUUUACACAAAGGAUGCAAAGGGAACUUGUAUGAGUAGUCACCACCAAAGUCAAGAGAUAAGAGAUGACACAUGAAAGUGGUAUGCCCGUUUGAUCCAACAGAGAUGAUAAAUGUUGCUUGAUCACUUGACAAACAACAUAGAAAUUGUUUCAAGGGAAAUGUUUACGGAAGAUCACACAUCAGUGUAGUUCCAUAACGGAUCAUGACUAGAGACAUCGAUACCAGCAUGCGCCAAGCAGCAUAACCUUGCGUGUACAUUCACAAGGGGCUCUCAGUUUCGCUGCGACACCAUAAGUCCUUAAUCAUGACACCAUCACGGAACUGGCACCAAUAAUGAAUCUCACGUAGCAAAAACAGAUUGUGCUAAGAUAACAUAUUGAUAUAGUCUCAUAAUGGAUUAUGACUACUAACUGUGAUACCAGCGCGUGCCAAGUAGCGCAUCCAUGUGUCAAUCGUCCAUAGGAGGCCCUCGGUUUCGUCGCGGCACCAUCGGUUUUAGUCACAACACCAUUACCAGACGUAACCAAUAAGAAAUCUCGCGCCACACAAAUGGAUUGAGCAAGGGUGACAAUAUACAAGAGAUACUCCACCUGUAAGAAUGGUUACAAGUAGAGAGCCAAAUAGAUUGUGGCCCAAGGAAAUGAGCAAGACAUGGCCAUAACAUAAACUUGAUGAAAGGAGUACGAUGGGAGACUGUUAAUUCAGCCCCAAGCAUAUCUCUAUGCCCAUCGCAGAGAGUACAAGGGUCAAGGAUUAGUAUCUGAUUAGAUACAGAGGGGAAACAAUCAUAAGAUUAAGUUGAUAUGCCUUCGAUAGGUAUGGGGAAACCAAAGGCAUCAAACUCAAGAAAAUGGUCGAACAUGUCUUUCCUAGGUUGGGUCGAUAAAGCAAUAUGGCGAUCUUCAAGAACAGGCAAACUGGAAUAGAGACAUCAGCUUGCACAAAUCAAACAAGGGAAAGGUUCUAGUAAGAAACAUGACUCGAGAUUCUUGUUGUAAGCCUAGGUACAAUUUAUGUCCAACAAGUAAUUUGUCUAAGCAUUUAUUUUUAUGUAUUUGGUUAUGGAGUGAUAACGGAGAAUUCAAAUUUUGGGUCAUGGUUCACCAACUAAGAACAUGGCCUAAUUUCCGGUUUAGGCAAACAAGUCACUAACCUUCUGUCGACACAUCAAGCACAAGGGCAAACACAUUUGCACUAAUGGUCAAAUUAUGAAAAGCUAAAGGCAAUCUAAACCUGUAUCCCUAAGACACCACAUCAUUCACAAUCACCAAGUUUUGGAAUAAAGGUGAGAGAAGCAUUUUGGGUGUAUAGGUAACAAACAUAAUGCAACAAUCAGGAUGCAUGCUCGUCCUACACGUCCUCACGAGUUUUGCCAACAUAAUGUGGCGAUAGCGUUCUAUAUCGGUGGCAUACUUACGAAUCUCACGGUAAUUUGCUAGUCGUCAGCUACACAUACGUUUUCGAGGUUAGUGUACCUGCAGAAAAUUCCAUUACAACCCAAUUUCCCAUGGUGCAAUUCAUACAUGACAGUUUAUCACAGGUUAUACUCCAUAUAUCGCUAUAUGGAGGCCAGCUCAUCAUUAAGCGCCGAGCCACGCAUAGGCGCCGUUGCCACACUUUAACCAUAGGGCAACCCAUUAUGGUAACUCACCUUCUUACCUGAGCGUAGGUGCGUAGUUGCAAGUACAUUACACUUCUCAGUAUUCCCAUGUCUGUAUACCCAUACACAUCCAUGGGAUACUGAAUUCCCAGAAAAUCAAAUACUCCAGAUCGCAGCCUUCAUAUAUACAUAUGUGUAACAUGUAUAUAAUCAAGCGCAACAAUUAAACACUUCCCUAGACCGACGGUUGUUCGGUCAUGCUCUCACAUCUCACCUUACCUGAUCGUCGAUCCAUUCAAAACUGAAUGGCCUCAAAAUAACAAUACGCAUGUAUGCAAUACCCCCGGUUGUGGGUUAGUGGUUUUUAAAUAAGCCACCUAAUAGUCCUUAGUUUAGGGCUUAACAGAGGAUGUCGCUAGCAUUAUAGUUUUUGAAAACUAUUUUUCAAAGCCAAACAAUGUUUUUAGUUGAAAAUAGGUUUUUCAAAACCAAAACUUUUGUUUUGAAAAUAUGUAUGUGACCGUAUAUACUUAAUCCAGCUCCGAUACCAGCUGUGGCAGAACCUCCCAAGAUAUCGGGCCCACAUGCACCUGUCCUUGUCUCAAAGACCUCAGACUGUUAUGCAUGUGCACCAGAUAACUUAACAGGAUCCGUCCGAUUGCCCCAAGGACACCGGAUAAACCACUUACAACCAGAACCGCG